rnacentral:lncRNA from 1 species
GGUCACCUGCCGCUGGGCUCAAAGGAUGAACUGGCAGGAAUGGGCCUCCCCCCUCCUUUAUACAGCGUGUCCGUCAUUAAACAUUUGAACCUUGAGCAGACUAGCAUGUCUUGGUUCCAUUAUUUCUCGACCCGCCUAGGUCGGCCCCAACAAUUUGGCGAACCAACUCGAGACCUGAGAAUGGCAGAAGACACCGGAAGAAACACUGCUGGUAUGGAGCUCCACAGAUAGAAAAGAAUUAGAAAAUUCGUACUGGAACGCGGAGAAGCAACGGGCAAAAGGUUGCUAAGGUGUGGUAAGGUCUGAGCUGGAACUGCACUGACCCGCGCUGGAUCCGCUCAAGUUCAGCAGUGAUAUCAGGAUCUAGGAACAUUAACAGGCAGUCGGCCACAGCUUUCAGAAGCUACUUUUUAGGCGAGAGAAAUAAAAGGGUUUGGAUUAAAUAAUCAGGUGGAUUGGCCACAGUUGGAAACUGCAUCAGGCGGGAGGAUAAUGGAAUUUGAAAUUCUCCCAGAGGCAGAGAGAAAUCUUGGGGGUCGCCCUGCCUUUUUCUCUCUAGCCCUUACAGCAGAAGUUCUCUGCUCUCUUUGUGCUGUCUAACAUCUAAUGUCUGGUGCACCAGUCUGUCCACGUGUUCAAUUCAUGUGUGUUCGUGUCUAGUCGUCUGAAUGACUGAAUGCUCUGUGUUUCAUGUUGGAAAAUAAAGAUGGCUAAAACUUUAUCUGCCGGUUUAGUAAGAGAGUGGCCACAAGCUUUAUCCAGGAUCAGGCACAGCAGGAGGGCCCCUGCUGGAAAACUGUUUUUUAAGAAAGGGAGUCUGCCGCCUCAUGGUUUUGGAGCAAAAAAGCUGAUAGAUGGUUUUUUCCUAAGAAAAUUCUCUGCAAUCGUGAUUAUUGCGUUUAGCUAGUGGCAAAGUGUUUUUUAUUUUAUAAUUCUAGCUAGAAAAAUUAAAAUUCUCUGAUUGGUCUAAGUGUAGCCGAUUCAUUUGGUUUUUUACUGGUAAUGUGCUCUGCGUGUCUUUGCAAGAGUAUCAGCUCAUAAGUUAUUGGUUAGGAUUAAAUAAUUGUUACAUUGGUAACAGAAGGUUAGCUUCAAUUUGGCAACUCAGGAGUCUUUCAAACAUGUGGCAUAAAGCAGGCCAAAAACUAGGCCUCUAAGGAUACUUCUGGCUGAGGUAAUAUUUAAUGUGAUUCUUAUCCUAGAGAGUAGAAUUAAGAUAAGAUUUAAAGCAAUGUCUCUUUAAUGAAGCAUUAAAGCUUGCACUGUCAUGCAUUCAUAGGUAUAAACUGGCAGCCAAAUCUCGCAAUGUGGUAGUGAAGUUUUAAUGUUGAUUCUAAAGUGAUAAAUUGUUUUGAAAUUGGGUUUUGCUUUCCCAAGGUUGUAGUUAUGGUCUAAUAUUGCAAAGAAACUUAAAAGUUUGGAAAUCUGUCCUCACGGCAAGAGGAACUAAGCUCAGAGCAGCUUCUACGUAGUUUGUGUGACUCUCUUUGCAAAUGGGAGGGCUCAGGGGAGGGCCGCGCUCGCCAUUGACCCCAUGAGCCUCUGCCUGUUCCUGCCGGGGUAACCGUAUCCCCCACCCCCACCCCGCUAAGAUUCUGCCGCCCUCGCUUGGGCUUUCUGGCCUACAACAGAUUGGGCCGCCUUCAGUGCCUUCAGCCUCUUCUGCCUGACCGGAAGGCCGAGGGUGGGCGAGGCUGAGGUGGUGCUCACCUCAAAGCACAGUUUCAGCAACCUAUUAAAACUACUGUGGUGCUAAUAAAGAAUUGUAAGAUAUAUUCAUAUAUUUUGGAAAACCUAUAACAAAAAUUGUGUCUUAAGAACCUAAGUGUCUGUUCCAUGUUCAAAACAGCAAUUAAAUUGGUUAUUACAGAAUAUUAAUAAUUGACCUAUUGUAUACCAUUUUAAAUAAUAAUAGAUAAAAUAAAAUUUUGUUUUUAUGCAUG